CUGAAAAUUUUUAGCAGUUAGCAGUUUCAUUGGCAUUUGGCAAGGCUAUCCAAGAGAGCCUCUCUCACCGGAAACUGAGUACCAAGAAAUUUUUCAAAAUUUCAAACUUUUCUGGAACAAGCUUCAACAAUACUCCGCAUCACUGCCUACCAAUUUCAAAUUUUAGCAGAGAAAAAUCAAGGACAACUGAUGAUCAUGCCUGAGUCUGAGGUCAACUACCAUUGAAGAUUUGAAUAAUCUUAUUGCUAAUGCAAGGUAUCAAUUUCUGCUACAGUUCUGUAUUGUACUGUCUGCGUGAAAACAUGUGAUGUACCAACACAGUUCUUGUGAAUUUGUUAAGGAACACUUUUUCAGUUCAA